AACUACCUGAGGAGGGGGAUAACCCCGGAAAACUGGGGAUAAUACCCCAUAGAUUAGGGAUGCUGGAAUGCCCCCUAGUUCAAAGGUCCGCCGCCACAGGAUGGGUCUGCGGCCGAUUAGGUUGUUGUUGGGGUAACGGCCCAACAAGCCAUUGAUCGGUACGGGUUGUGGGAGCAAGAGCCCGGAGAUGGAUUCUGAGACACGAAUCCAGGCCCUACGGGGCGCAGCAGGCGCGAAAACUUUACAAUGCGAGAAAUCGUGAUAAGGGAACCCCGAGUGCCCGUAAAUUCGGGCUGUCCGUCAGUGUAAAUAACUGGCGAAAAAAGGGCCGGGCAAGACUGGUGCCAGCCGCCGCGGUAAUACCGGCGGCUCGAGUGGUGGCCGCUAUUACUGGGCUUAAAGCGUCCGUAGCUGGGUUGUUAAGUCUCCUGGGAAAUCCACCGGCUCAACCGAUGGGCGUUCAGGAGAUACUGGCAACCUAGGGACCGGGAGAGGUGAGAAGUACUCCAGGGGUUAGGAGUGAAAAUCCUGUAAUCCUUGGGGGAACACCUGUGGCGAAGGCGUCUCACCAGAACGGCUCCGACAGUGAGGGACGAAAGCUGGGGGAGCAAACCGGAUCAGAUACCCGGGUAGUCCCAGCCGUAAACGAUGCGCGUCAGGUGUAUCGGUGACCACGAGUCACCGAGGUGCCGAAGAGAAAUCGUGAAACGUGCCGCCUGGGAAGUACGGUCGCAAGGCUGACACUUAA
rnacentral:rRNA from 1 species